rnacentral:rRNA from 1 species
GAUGAACGCUGGCGGCGUGCCUAAUACAUGCAAGUCGAGCGAACGGACGAGAAGCUUGCUUCUCUGAUGUUAGCGGCGGACGGGUGAGUAACACGUGGAUAACCUACCUAUAAGACUGGGAUAACUUCGGAAAACCGGAGCUAAUACCGGAUAAUAUUUUGAACCGCAUGGUUCAAAAGUGAAAGACGGUCUUGCUGUCACUUAUAGAUGGAUCCGCGCUGCAUUAGCUAGUUGGUAAGGUAACGGCUUACCAAGGCAACGAUGCAUAGCCGACCUGAGAGGGAGAUCGGACACACUGGAAGUGAGACACGUUCCAGACUCCUACGCGAGGAAGCAGUAGGGAAUCUUCCGCAAUGGGCGAAAGCCUGACGGAGCAACGCCGCGUGAGUGAUGAAGGUCUUCGGAUCGUAAAACUCUGUUAUUAGGGAAGAACAUAUGUGUAAGUAACUGUGCACAUCUUGACGGUACCUAAUCAGAAAGCCACGGCUAACUACGUG